AUGGAUUUCCACCGGUUCCUUGUGGCCAUGCUGCUGCCUGUGGGCUGGGCCCUUCAGCAAUCACCAGAUACAGUUGUCCGGGUGGGAGACACCAUCACUCUGGAAUGUUCUGGACAGGGCAACAUAGUCAAGACCAUGUACUGGUACAAGUUACCCAUGGAGAAGGAUGCCAGAAUGCAGCUGGCUGUGUAUUCAGUGGAAGGUGGCAAAGCAGAUAUUGAGAAGGAAUUCCAAAAUCGCUUCCAGAGUAGCGGGACUAGGAACAACCAUUUAGCUGUGCAGAUACAGCAUGCCCUACUCAAUGACACAGGCACAUAUUUCUGUGCUGAAAAAGAUCCACAGUGA